rnacentral:rRNA from 1 species
AGUAACGCGUGGGUAACCGUGCCUCAUACAGGGGGAUAACGAUUGGAAACGAUUGCUAAUACCGCAUAAGCGCACAGUACCACAUGGUGCAGUGUGAAAAACUCCGGUGGUAUGAGAUGGACCCGCGUCUGAUUAGCUAGUUGGUGAGGUAACGGCCCACCAAGGCAACGAUCAGUAGCCGACCUGAGAGGGUGACCGGCCACAUUGGGACUGAGACACGGCCCAG